rnacentral:rRNA from 1 species
GACGAACCGAGCGAACGUUGUUCGGAAUCACUGGGCUUAAAGGGCGCGUAGGCGGGUGCUCAAGUCCGGGGUGAAAUCCUCCAGCUCAACUGGAGAACUGCCUCGGAUACUGGGUGCCUCGAGGGUGGUAGGGGUAUGCGGAACUAUCGGUGGAGCGGUGAAAUGCGUUGAUGUCGAUAGGAACUCCGGUGGCGAAGGCGGCAUACUGGACCACAUCUGACGCUGAGGCGCGAAAGCCAGGGGAGCAAACGGG